rnacentral:rRNA from 1 species
GAGUUUGAUUAUGGCUCAGGAUUAACGCUGGCGGUACGUCUAAUACAUGCAAGUCGAACGAAACAUAGUGCUUGCACUAAUGUUUAGUGGCGAACGGGUGAGUAACACGUAGGUAACCUGCCCUUAAGAUGAGGAUAACAGUUAGAAAUGACUGCUAAUACUGAAUAAGGAAUGAAGAUGGCAUCAAAAACAUUUUAAAGGUCCGAAUGGAUCGCUUAAGGAGGGGCCUGCGGCGCAUUAGCUAGUUGGUGAGAUAAUAGCCCACCAAGGCAAUGAUGCGUAGCCGGACUGAGAGGUUGAACGGCCACAUUGGGACUGAGAGACGGCCCAAACUCCUACGGGAGGCAGCAGUAGAGAAUCUUCGGCAAUGGGGGAAACCCUGACCGACGCGAUACCGCGUGAAUGAAGACAUACUUCUAGUAACGUAAAAUUCUUUUAUUUAGGAAGAACAUAUUGUAUAGGAAAUGAUAUGAUAUGACCGNACNAA